UGGGGAAUAUUGGACAAUGGGGGCAACCCUGAUCCAGCGAUGCCGCGUGGGUGAAGAAGGCCUUCGGGUUGUAAAGCCCUUUAGGUCAGGAAGAAGUUGCCUUGAGGAAAUGCGAGGUAAUUGACGGUACUGACAGAAUAAGCACCGGCAAACUCUGUGCCAGCAGCCGCGGUAAUACAGAGGGUGCGAGCGUUAAUCGGAAUUACUGGGCGUAAAGGGCGCGUAGGCGGUUAGAUGAGUGUGAUGUGAAAGCCCUGGGCUUAACCUAGGAAGUGCAUUGCAAACGAUCUAACUGGAGUAGAUGAGAGGGUGGUGGAAUUUCCGGUGUAGCAGUGAAAUGCGUAGAGAUCGGAAGGAACGUCGAUGGCGAAGGCAGCCACCUGGCAUCAUACUGACGCUG
rnacentral:rRNA from 1 species